rnacentral:misc_RNA from 1 species
AUUUAAUCUCUUUCUAUUUUCUAGAGAGAGAUUUUCUCUACCUGAUUUUAGCCUUUGAUUUUCUUUCUCUUUCUUACCGAGUGCAUUUCGUGUGCUUCCCCUAUCAUUCGGAAUAGGGGAAGUCAACAUUGUUUUGCUCUAGCUCAGAAUAAUUUCCCUCUUACCUUGAUUUGAUUGUGCAUAUUUGAGUUUUUGUGAGUUGCAGAUGGUGG